UACAGAGGUCUCAAGCGUUGUUCGGAUUCAUUGGGCGUAAAGGGUGCGUAGGUGGCGUGGUAAGUCUGGUGUGAAAUCCCGGGGCUCAACCCCGGAACUGCACUGGAUACUGCCAUGCUUGAGUACUGGAGAGGAGAUUGGAAUUUACGGUGUAGCAGUGAAAUGCGUAGAUAUCGUAAGGAAGACCAGUGGCGAAGGCGAAUCUCUGGGAACGGUACUGACGCUGAGACGCGAAAGCGUGGGGAGCGAACAGG
rnacentral:rRNA from 1 species